GCCUCAACUCAGGGAAGGCGACCCGCUGAACUUAAGCAUAUCAAUAAGCGGAGGAGAAGAAAGUAACAACGAUUCCCCUAGUAACGGCGAGUGAAGAGGGAAGAGCUCAAGCCCUAAUCUGAACAUGCGCUCCGCACGUUUCGAAUUGUAGUCUGAAGGGCAGCGUCGCCGCAUCGUCCCGGGUCCAAGUCCCCUGGAAAGGGGCGCCAGAGAGGGUGAGAGUCCCGUAUUUGGCCAUGGGUCGGUGUCCUACGCGCUCCGGAGAGUCGGGUUGCUCGGGAUUGCAGCCUGAACGGGAGGUAAAUUUCUCCCAAAGCUAAAUACUGGCGAGAGACCGAUAGCGAACAAGUACCGUGAGGGAAAGAUGCAAAGAACUUUGAAAAGAGAGUUAAAAAGUACCUGAACUUGUUGGGGGGAAAGCGGUUGCUUCCAGUGUGCGCGCGUCGAUUCAGCCCGCGAGGGUGUACUUUGGCGCGCGCGGUCAGGGUGGGUUUGGCGCGGCGUUGACGUCGCUCGCGAGGCCUUCGGGCAACCGUGCGUUCGUGCGUCGCUCCUGACCGAGGCUCGCUCUGCUGCGGGGUCGGCGUAUCGUCUAGGCGUCUCACAAGCAACUUGUGCUCGCCGGGCGUGAUUCCCUACCCGCUCGUGUAGCGUGACCCUGACGAAAUGGGCGCCACCGACCCGUCUAGAAACACGGACCAAGGAGUCUGA
rnacentral:rRNA from 1 species